rnacentral:misc_RNA from 1 species
AAGUCGUAACAAGGUUUCCGUAGGUGAACCUGCGGAAGGAUCAUUAGUAGUAGAGCGUGAGUUUAAAAGUGAAGGCGUGAGCCUGAACUUUUAAGCGAACGAGCGAGGGCGACAGCCUGAGCAGAGGGUGGAGGGUGGAGUGAAGUGGAGGUGUAUCACAUGGUACUACCAGCACCCACUCCCAUCCACACCCAGUCACGGGCGCUCGCAGGAGCGCCUUGUAACAAGUAAUUUACAUCUAAAUCAUACAAGCAAAACUUUUAACAAUGGAUCUCUGGGCUCCU